rnacentral:rRNA from 1 species
AAUGAACGUUGGCGGCGUGGAUUAGGCAUGCAAGUCGAGCGAUCGUAGCAAUACGGGAGCGGCAAACGGGGUAGGAAUACCUCGGAACAUACCCUCAGGUCGGGGAUAGCGGCGGGAAACUGCCGGUAAUACCCGAUGAUCUCGAGAGAGCAAAGGUUUACUGCCUGGGGAGUGGCCGAGGCGAUAUUAGCUAGUUGGUGAGGUAAUGGCUCACCAAGGCAUAGAUGUCUAGGGGGCGUGAGAGCGCGACCCCCACCACUGGGACUGAGAAACUGCCCAGACACCUACGGGUGGCUGCAGUCGAGAAUCUUCGUCAAUGGGGGAAACCCUGAACGAGCGACGCCGCGUGUGGGAUGAAGGCCUUUGGGUUGUAAACCACUGUCAGGGGGGAUGAAACCGCAAGGUUGACAGAGCCCCAGAGGAAGCACGGGCUAAGUUCGUGCCAGCCGCCGCCGUAAGAC